GCUGGGACCAAGGACUUCUAGGUAUGUGCGUGGGUGAGAAAAGGAAGCUAAAGAUACCCGCAAAGCUUGGUUAUGGAGAUCAAGGAUCUCCUCCCACCAUCCCAGGUGGAGCCACUCUAAUUUUUGAUACGGAACUCGUUGCCAUAAAUGGGAAAACAUCAGGCGAUGAAGGUGAAGCUGUAGUAGAUGAUAGCGAGCUCUAGUUUGGCUAGAAUUAUGAAUAGCAUUGGCCUCUUCAAACCCCUACCUAGAAUUAUGCAAUAUUUUCCUUGCUCAAGCUAGGCUUUCACAAUCAAGUUCAGAA
rnacentral:misc_RNA from 1 species